rnacentral:rRNA from 1 species
UAGGGAAUCUUCCACAAUGGACGCAAGUCUGAUGGAGCAACGCCGCGUGAGUGAAGAAGGNCUUCGGNUCGUAAAGCUCUGUUGUUGGUGAAGAAGGAUAGAGGCAGUAACUGGUCUUUAUUUGACGGUAAUCAACCAGAAAGUCACGGCUAACUACGUGCCAGCAGCCGCGGUAAUACGUAGGUGGCAAGCGUUGUCCGGAUUUAUUGGGCGUAAAGCGAGCGCGGCGGAAUGAUAAGUCNGAUGUGAAAGCCCACGGCUCACGUGGAACUGCAUCGGAAACUGUCAUUCUUGAGUGCAGA